UUAUCAUAUGUUCGGUUAUUUUUGGAUAUCCAUUCGGGUUCGGAUAUUACCCGUUCGGGUUCGGAUAUCCAAUCUCUCUUAAUUCAAUACCCGUUCGGAUAUUUUGCUACUUCGGUUCGGAUUUCGGUUCGGGUUUUUCGGAUCGGGUUCGGGUGCCACUUCGGAUUUCGGGUAAAAUGCCCACCCCUAAUAUAUUUGUUUGCUAUAUAUGCCCAUGAAUCGCAAGCUUGAUUUUGUGUUUGGGAAGGAAAUAUAUAAUAUUUCAUUGUAUUUAGAUGUUUAGUUAAAUUUGGAGUGAAUAUAGGGCUUACAUAUUUAAAAUUUUGGCAGGAUCUGACUUUAUAAGUAAAGGUGAAUCAAUACUAUUAAAAGAAAAAGCACAAUUUUGGACCCAACUUGCUUCUAAAGGUAUUUUCAACCUCAGUUCAUAUUUUACUUCAAAAUUGAGAAAAAAAUAGAGUGAGCAAUAGAGUAAUGAACAAAAAAAAUAAAAAGAUUACUUAAUGCUUUUAUUUUUUGUUCAUCACUUUAUUUUCCACUCUAUUUUUUUUCAUUUUGGAGUAAAAUAUGGAGUGAGAUUAGAAAUGCUCUAUGUAAAAUAUUUUUAAAACUAGAUCCUGCAUAAUUUUCGAGUAAUUCUUGAUUUUUCGGUAACUCGCUAGGCCCGGAAUUGCUAUCCGACUACCGUCUAGCGUAGUUCCAAUCAUUUGAAAAAACAAUAUUAUAAAAAAAAAUUGAGAUAUAACAUUUGUUUCAGGUGUUUUUCUCUUACAUAGUGAUUGAUGAAAGUGACAUGUCAUACAAAAGCACACAGGUGUGUUUCUAGUGCUUAGGCUCCGAAUGGAAAAAGCGGAUCAAGCGUUGCGGAUCUAGCGGAUCAAGCAGAUUGAGCGGAACAAAAGUGGAUCAAGCGGAUCGAGCGGUACAAGUGUGGAUCUAGCGGAUCUAGCGGUUCAAAACAUAUGUUUGAAUGGUGAAAGUUGAUAAAAACUGGUCCAAAUUACUGUACAAAUUUAAAUUAAUUAAUAUAAAAUUUUAAUACUAUAUAUUGUUAUAAAUUAAAGGAGUUUAAAAAAAAAAAUUAUAAGUGAAAUGAUAAAAGUGUAUUCAAAAAUAUAAUAGGAAAUUAUUUAAA